rnacentral:lncRNA from 1 species
GCUGGGCAGCCUCUGUUAAUACCCUUUAAUGAGAGCAAUCACUGAGAGGUUCUCCGGGAGUACUUAAGACAGGUUAAUGAUUGUCCUGCCACGAUGUGAGGGCACUCUAUGAUGAAAGUGGAGCAGAUGAAAAUGUAAAGCAAUCAAUGUUUUCCAUUUUCUAGUUCAUUCAUUCAUCCCAUAUCUCAAUCUUCCAGCUGAACAGUCGAUUCACUGACGCCCUGUUUUCUUCGUUUUCCUGCUCUCUUGUUCAUACUGUAUAAUGAAGGAAUGAGAGAUUGGGAGAGCAAAUUAGUGUAAUGAACCACUGGCAUAUAAAACAGGAGAGAAGAGUCUGUGGGCAGAACACAGGCGGAACUAGAACAUGACAUGUGGUUGGAGAAAAGCAGAAACCCACGUUGGGUUUCAUGAGGGAAGGAGAAUGUGGAUGUUAGAAUUACUAGUAAAAAUUCGGUUACUCAGUAAACUCAAGAAUGAUUUUGUGAAGGUCCUGUAUCAGCUAUCUAUCACCUUAUGCUGGUAACCGAUAACCACAUGCUUCAGUGGAAUUCAACAAUAAGCACUUGCUCAGGCACAAAUGUCUGGAGUCAGCAAAGGACCAACUAUGAGGUUCUGUGGAACUGCUACUAGCUCCCCACUCAGGGUCAGCUCACUAUCUACUGAUCUUAGCUGGGUUCACCCAGGCACUGAAGUUGAGCUGGCUUGUUCAUGCAUCUGCUGACAUCCAGUUGGCCAAAGCAAGUCACAUGACUGAGGCCAGUGGUAAAGUGUUUGGAGGUCACCCCUGCCUUCAGUGCAGUGGGAGGGUGUUCAAAUUUACAAGGCAAAGGGUACAACUGUUAAUGGCAAUCACCCUUAACAAAGGCUGAGAGCACCUGCUUCAUCAACAGUUAACACCACUCUUAGCCUCUAAUUUUUUUUUUACUCUGGGUUAGGUCUAAGAACAUGGUCAUUUUCUAUAGCCUUGGUGGGCACAGACAUAUUGUACAACUGGGGAGUCUGGACUUUAGUAUGCAAUAUGCCAACAGAUUGCAGACACCAAGAGUAAUGACAUUUUCAUAGAGAUUGAGCAUCUUGGUCUAUUUUGUGCUGUUAUAGGACAAAAUGGACCAAGACUAGUGAAUUUAUUAAAAAAAAAACACAGAAAUUUAUUUUCUAACAGUUCUGGAGGCUAUGAAGUCUAAUGUCAAGAUGUUGGCAUUUUGCAAGGGCCAUCAGCUGCAUCAUUUUAUGGUGGAAGGCACAAAGGAAAGAGCACUUUAGAGCAAGAAGGGGCCAAGUUUCCUUAUAUACAAGCACACUCUUGUAAUAAUGGUAAUCUAUCCAUGAAGGAGGAGGCUUCACCUGAUCACCUCUUGUAAGUCCCAUCUCUUAACAUUGUAUUAGGGAUUAGAUUUCCAACACAUGAAUUUUUUUCAACACUGUCAAACAGUAGCAUUAUGGAUUUACCUUUAUAGCUUCGUAUUGUUGUCUCAGUGUUCCCAAUACCCUUCCCUUCAACACUGAGGUGUGUUCUCUCUGGGGACAGGUGAAGUCAUGAUGGCAGCCAACCAGUCCUAAGAAAAUUAAUAAUUAACACUGAAAUAAAUAUAUUUUCUUCCUUUCCUCUUCAAAUGAAUAAAUAAUUCUAAGUAUAUUAAUAAAACAUGGUACUAAACAAAUCUCUGUGGUUCCUAUAUUGUACAACCCUAGCUCCCAUCUUAUCAACAAGACUGAGCCAAAUGCUUUUUUUUAAUUUUCCAUGAAUAUUUUCU